ACGCUCGACACCUACGGGAGCAGCAGUGGGGAAUAUUGCACAAUGGGGGAAACCCUGAUGCAGCGACGCCGCGUGGAGGAAGAAGGUCUUCGGAUGUAAACUCCUGUUGUUGGGGAAAAAGAGGAUGGUACCCAACAAGGAAGUGACGGCUAACUACGUGCCANCAGCCGCGGUAAUCUGAGCGGGCUGGCAAGGC
rnacentral:rRNA from 1 species